GGUUAAUCCUACCGUAUGACAGAUAGGAGUCAGUAUAAAAGCGAAAAUGCUGUAGUUAGUUUGUUUGCUUAUGAAGUGAAAUAAAGUCUGAGAAGACUGUAGUAUACCGAUUGACCGGUAGGGGUCAGCAUGUAGGCGAAAAUGCCGUGGUUCGUUAGUUUGUACAUGAAAUGCAAUAAUGCCUGAGAAGCCUGUAGUACACUGAAUGACCGGUAGGUGUAAGUGUGUAGAUAAAAAUGCAGUGGUUUAUUGUUUUGUACACGAAAAGCAAUAAUGUCUAAGAAGCCUGUAGUACACCGAAUGACUGAUAGGGGUCAGUAUGUAGGUGAAAAAUGCAAUGGUUUGUUGGUUUGUACAUAAAAUGCAAUAAUGUCUGAGAAGCCUGUAGUACACAGAAUGACUGGUAGGUGUCAGUGUGUAGGUGAAAAUGCAGUGGUUUAUUGUUUUGUACAUGAAAAGCAAUAAUGUCGGAGAAGCCCGUAGUACACCGAAUGACCGUAGGGGUCAGUGUGUAGGUGAAAAAUGCGGUGGUUCGUUGGUUUGUACAUGAAAUGCAAUAAUGUCUGAGAAGCCUGUAGUACACCGAAUGACCGGUAGGGGUCAGUGUGUAGGCAAAGAUGCAGUGGUUCGUUGAUUUGUACAUGAAAUGCGAUAAUGUCUAAGAAGCCUGUAGUCCACCGAAAGACCAGUAGGGGUCAGUGUGUAGGUGUAAAUGCAGUGGUUUAUUGGUUUGUACAUGAAAAUGCAAACAACGCCUAAGAAGCCUGUAGUACACCGAAUGACCAAUAGGGGUCAGUGUGUAGGUGAAAAAUGCGGUGGUUCGUUGGUUUGUACAUGAAAUGCAAUAAUGUCUGAGAAGCCUGUAGUACACCGAAUGACCGGUAGGGGUCAGUGUGUAGGCAAAAAUGCAGUGGUUCGUUGGUUUGUACAUGAAAUGCGAUAAUGUCUAAGAAGUCUGUAGUACCCCCAAAGACCAGUAGGGGGUUUAAAUGAAUGAUAUGCAUGAACAUGCAAUGGUUUUAGA